UUCUCUCCAGUUGACACCUCAGUUUCUUGUAUUGAAUCAGAAGCUGACACAUCAGUAAAAAUAAACCACCAAUCAAAUUAUAACAAUAAUACAGAUAAUCAAAAUAUGCUCUUACGUGGCUUAAAGAACCAAAUGUACGCGAUAAUACUUCUCUCUUUCUCAGGUCACCACCGGAGUUUCUCGACUGCGAAAUCGAAUGGUUUCGAAGAUGGAGAUUAUGAUUUCACGGCAGAUCUGCCGGACUAUUGCCUCGCUCAUACCUUUCAAUUUCUCAGCACCGGAGAUCGGAAAAGAAGCUUGCUGACUCGAGUCAAGCUUCGUGGUUGUCGCGAGAUUACGGAUGUAGGUAUGGAUUCGUUCGCUAGAAACUGUAAAAACUUGAGGAAGCUAUCGUGUGCCUCUUCUAAUUUCGGUGCCAAGGGAUUAAACGCGAUGCUUGAGGGGAAUUCUUGAAUUAGCUGAACCUAUUAAGCUGAGUUUGUCUUCUCGCAGAUCUGGGAUACCGCCGGCCAAGAACGGUGGAGUUUUGUUAUUAGACCAAGUUACUGCAAAAGAAGAAAUUGGGGUGAUUAAAUCAAUGACUCAGGUAAUGAAAGGGGAUGAAAUUCCCACAAUAGAAAGUAUUCCAAAAUGCCUUACAGAAAUGGUUGGCAGAACAAUGGAAUUUCAAAUCAAGAUUACUGAAUACAACAUCUGAGCAUCUUCUCAAGCUUUCAUUGUUACUCGGGUCAUGAAAGAAAACAUAUUUGGAGAUUUAGAGGGAGAUGAAACAACCACAUAUGUCAACGUAACAAAAUAUGAGGAGAUUAAAACAGAGAAUGGGAAAAGACCUCCUACGUUUCAAGAAGAGGAAGAGGAGGAAAAGAAAUCCAAAAAGAAACGCUCGAUCACAACUUAAUAUGUGAUAGUCAAGAUAUUUACAAAAACAUGUGGCAGUUUAAAGUUCUACAUCUCUAAGUCGUUGAGAUUUUUAUUCUACAUCUUCAAGUCUUUUACAUUUCAAUACUACAUGUCAAACUCUUUGAUUAAAAUUCUACAUUCUGUUUUAAAAUACCAUUUCAUAUGGAAGCCUAA